rnacentral:rRNA from 1 species
UACGGAGGGUGAAAGCGUUAAUCGGAAUUACUGGGCGUAAAGCGCACGCAGGCGGUGUGUUAAGCCAGAUGUGAAAUCCCCGGGCUCAACCUGGGAACGGCAUCUGAUACCGGCUAGCCUGAGUCUCGUUGAGGGGGGUAGAAUUCCAGGUGUAGCGGUGAAAUGCGUAGAGAUCUGGAGGAACACCGGUGGCGAAGGCGGCCCCCUGGACGAAGACUGACGCUCAGGUGCGAAAGCGUGGGGAGCAAACAGG